rnacentral:rRNA from 1 species
GACAGAGGGUGCAAACGUUGUUCGGAAUUACUGGGCGUAAAGCGUGUGUAGGCGGCCGCGCAAGUCGGAUGUGAAAGCCCCGGGUUCAGCCCGGGAAGUGCACCCGAAACUGCGUGGCUUGAGUACCGGAGAGGUUGGUGGAAUUCUCGGUGUAGAGGUGAAAUUCGUAGAUAUCGAGAGGAACACCGGUGGCGAAGGCGGCCAACUGGACGAGUACUGACGCUGAGACACGAAAGCGUGGGGAGCAAACAGG